CCCUAAGAUAGCCCGGUAUAUGAGAUACAAGGGGUUGCAAUAGGGAAUCAACCCAUUCCGAAAGUCGCUCCGAAUACGAUCCAAUUCCCGCCACAAUCGGUCUUAAUGGUGGAGGAAAACCCUCCUUAUGCACCUUCGGAUGGGCAUGUAAUACGG